GGCGGCAUAGCCAAGUGGUAAGGCAGAGGUCUGCAAAACCUCCACUCCCCAGUUCGAAUCUGGGUGCCGCCU
rnacentral:tRNA from 5 species